AAUGGAAUGCCUGAUAAAAGGAUUAUCGUGAUAGGAUAAAUAAUGUAAGAAAUUACUUCCAUUA
rnacentral:tRNA from 1 species